UACGGAGGGGGCAAGCGUUGUUCGGAAUCAUUGGGCGUAAAGGGCGCGUAGGCGGCCGAUCAAGUCGGGUGUGAAAUCCCUCGGCUCAACCAAGGAAGUGCAUCCAAAACUGCUGAGCUUGAGUACUUAAGAGGAUCGCGGAAUUCCCGGUGUAGAGGUGAAAUUCGUAGAUAUCGGGAGGAACACCAGUGGCGAAGGCGGCGAUCUGGGAAGAUACUGACGCUGAGGUGCGAAAGCGUGGGGAGCAAACAGG
rnacentral:rRNA from 1 species